GUGAGGAAUUUUCCGCAAUGGGCGAAAGCCUGACGGAGCAAUGCCGCGUGAAGGAUGAAGGCCUAUGGGUUGUAAACUUCUUUUCUCAGAAAAGAAUUAUGACGGUAUCUGAGGAAUAAGCAUCGGCUAACUCUGUGCCAGCAGCCGCGGUAAGACAGAGGAUGCAAGCGUUAUCCGGAAUGAUUGGGCGUAAAGCGUCUGUAGGUUGUUUAAAAAGUAUUCUGUCAAAGAUUAGGGCUUAACCCUAGAUAGGCAGAAUAAACUUUUAAGCUAGAGUUUGGUAGAGGCAGAGGGAAUUCCCGGUGGAGCGGUGAAAUGCGUAGAUAUCGGGAGGAACGCCAAAGGCGAAGGCACUCUGCUGGGCCAAUACUAACACUGAGAGACGAAAGCGAGAGGAGCAAAUGGGAUUAGAUACCCUAGUAGUCC
rnacentral:rRNA from 1 species